rnacentral:rRNA from 1 species
GUUGGGAACUAGGUGUGGGUCUCAUUCCACGAGAUCCGUGCCGCAGCUAACGCAUUAAGUUCCCCGCCUGGGGAGUACGGCCGCAAGGCUAAAACUCAAAGGAAUUGACGGGGGCCCGCACAAGCGGCGGAGCAUGCGGAUUAAUUCGAUGCAACGCGAAGAACCUUACCAAGGCUUGACAUACACCGGAAUCACUCAGAGAUGGGUGCGUCUUCGGACUGGUGUACAGGUGGUGCAUGGUUGUCGUCAGCUCGUGUCGUGAGAUGUUGGGUUAAGUCCCGCAACGAGCGCAACCCUCGUUCUAUGUUGCCAGCACGUCAUGGUGGGGACUCAUAGGAGACUGCCGGGGUCAACUCGGAGGAAGGUGGGGAUGACGUCAAAUCAUCAUGCCCCUUAUGUCUUGGGCUUCACGCAUGCUACAAUGGCCGGUACAAAGGGCUGCGAAACCGCGAGGUGGAGCGAAUCCCAAAAAACCGGUCUCAGUUCGGAUUGGGGUCUGCAACUCGACCCCAUGAAGUCGGAGUCGCUAGUAAUCGCAGAUCAGCAACGCUGCGGUGAAUACGUUCCCGGGCCUUGUACACACCGCCCGUCAAGUCACGAAAGUCGGUAACACCCGAAGCCGGUGGCCCAACCCUUGUGGGGGGAGCCGUCGAAGGUGGGACUGGCGAUUGGGACUAAGUCGUAACAAGGUAGCCGUACCGGAAGGUGC